AGUGAACGCUGGCGGUAGGCCUAACACAUGCAAGUCGAACGGCAGCACAGUAAGAGCUUGCUCUUACGGGUGGCGAGUGGCGGACGGGUGAGGAAUACAUCGGAAUCUACUUUUUCGUGGGGGAUAACGUAGGGAAACUUACGCUAAUACCGCAUACGACCUACGGGGGAAAGCAGGGGAUCUUCGGACCUUGCGCGAUUGAAUGAGCCGAUGUCGGAUUAGCUAGUUGGGGGGGUAAAGGCCCACCAAGGCGACGAUCCGUAGCUGGUCUGAGAGGAUGAUCAGCCACACUGGAACUGAGACACGGUCCAGACUCCUACGGGAGGCAGCAGUGGGGAAUAUUGGACAAUGGGCGCAAGCCUGAUCCAGCCAUACCGCGUGGGUGAAGAAGGCCUUCGGGUUGUAAAGCCCUUUUGUUGGGAAAGAAAAGCAGCAGGUUAAUACCCCGCUGUUCUGACGGUACCCAAAGAAUAAGCACCGGCUAACUUCGUG
rnacentral:rRNA from 1 species